CAGUAGCGUAUAUUAAAGUUGUUGCAGUUAAAAAGCUCGUAGUUGGAUUUCUGGCAAGGCAGAGCUGACCUGGUACUAUGUAUGUGUGUUGGACUCGGUCUGCCAUCCUUCCAGAAACGCACUGUACCUUUCAUUAGGCCGUGGUGUUGAUCUGGAACUUUUACUUUGAAAAAUUAGAGUGUUCAAAGCAGGCGUUACGCUAUGAAUACAUUAGCAUGGAAUAAUAAUCUAGGACUUCAGUUCUAUUUUGUUGGUUUCUUAGGACCGAAGUAAUGAUUAAUAGGGACAGUUGGGGGCGAUUUUUAUUUCCAUUGUUCAGAGGUGAAAUUACUUGGAUUAACGGAAGAAAACUAACUGCGAAAGCAUCUGCCAAGGAUGUUUUCUAUUGAUCAAGAACGAAAGUUAGGGAGUCGAAGACGAUUAGAUACCAU
rnacentral:rRNA from 1 species